GAAAGAAGAAAGAAAAGCAACGUUCUUCGCCAUGAGUACCACUCGAACAGUAUCAACGCUUCUCCUACUCCACUGUGCAAUAGAUAUACUAUAUAUUUCACUUGGACGAUGUAAUCGGCUCGUCGACCGGGAAUGGCAAGAAGGAUAAUCGGAUUUCGCACGAACGCUCUGCGAAUAUAACAAAAGGUUCUUCUAAAACUGAAUAAAUUUAUAUGAGACCA
rnacentral:lncRNA from 1 species